rnacentral:rRNA from 1 species
UAACGCGUGGGGCAACCUGCCCCAUAGAGGGGGACAACAGCUGGAAACGGCUGCUAAUACCGCAUAACAAGGAGAGAGCGCAUGUUCUUUUCUUCAAAGAUUUAUCGCUAUGGGAUGGACCCGCGUCUGAUUAGCUGGUUGGUGAGGUAACGGCUCACCAAGGCGACGAUCAGUAGCCGGCUUGAGAGAGUGGACGGCCACAUUGGGACUGAGACACGGCCCAGACUCCUACGGGAGGCAGCAG